rnacentral:rRNA from 1 species
GAACGCUGGCGGCGUGCCUAAUACACGCAAGUCGAGCGAACAGACGAGGAGCUUGCUCCUCUGACGUUAGCGGCGGACGGGUGAGUAACACGUGGAUAACCUACCUAUAAGACUGGGAUAACUUCGGGAAACCGGAGCUAAUACCGGAUAAUAUAUUGAACCGCAUGGUUCAAUAGUGAAAGACGGUUUUGCUGUCACUUAUAGAUGGAUCCGCGCCGCAUUAGCUAGUUGGUAAGGUAACGGCUUACCAAGGCAACGAUGCGUAGCCGACCUGAGAGGGUGAUCGGCCACACUGGAACUGAGACACGGUCCAGACUCCUACGGGAGGCAGCAGUAGGGAAUCUUCCGCAAAGGGCGAAAGCCUGACGGAGCAACGCCGCGUGAGUGAUGAAGGUCUUCGGAUCGUAAAACUCUGUUAUUAGGGAAGAACAAAUGUGUAAGUAACUAUGCACGUCUUGACGGUACCUAAUCAGAAAGCCACGGCUAACUACGUG